UCUGUCUCUGUCUCUCUCUCUCCCUUCGUUCUCUUUCUCUCCCCCUGCUACCCCCCCAACACAGUUACACACACACACACACACACAUACGCAGUGUGAAAGAUGCGAGCCAUAGCAUCUCAUAACAUGAAGGCCAUCCAGCUCCAUCCUCUCACUGCUGCUUGAACAAUAUGCUUAACACGUAGUGCCGCAGUCGCUGCUUGGAUUGAAUGUGUUCAUGCACAGAUUUUAUCAUCUUGUUACUCAAAAGACUGAUGGAUUCUGUCCCUGCCUGAAAAUUUCCUAAGAGGUAACAGUUCUAGGACACAGAUGCUGGAAGGAGUGGAGGAAGAAGUUUAAUUACCAUAUACAGCUCUUCCAUAUGCAAGGUCUCUGGGGCAAAACUGUCAUUCUGUCUGAAGCCAGACCCUCAAUGUCAGACUAAGAGAGUCGGAUGGAGACUACAUCUUCUCUGUGUGUUGCAAUGGGAGGACUUCUCUCCACCGAGUUUAGUGAGGGCAACACUGUCUCACAUGUCUGAAUGCUGUGCUGCACUGUUGACUGUCACUGUUGGGGAUAUUGGAAGAUCACAAGAAACUCCUGAUCCUGAAUACUGGCCUGAGCCUCUUUUGGAAGAGGCCUUCCAGAACCCUACUCUUGCUAGAGCUGAAUGCCAGAGCUGUGUAAUGGGGACAUCCUGUUGUGAACUUAUGUCCUUUCUGGACAAAUGUAUUCAAUUUGGGGCAGCAUGCCCAAUGGUUAGCCACUCAACCUCUGAACCCAAACCCCCAGCUCUACUGCUUAAUAGCUAUAUAACCUUGAGAAAAUUCAUUAAUAUGCCUGUACUUCAAUUUUAUCAUGUAUAAAAUAAGGAUAAUAAUUUUACAUGUCUUAUGGGGUUGUUAUGAUGAUUAAAUGGGUUAACAUUUCUAAAAAAUACUUGAACAGUGCCUGAUACAUCGUAAAUGCAUGUAUAUGUGUUUUUAAAAAUAGACAAUUCUAUACCAUUAAAUGUUAACCUGGCUUUGAUGCAGCUAGUUGAUCAAAUAAUCUAAAUCUUUGUAAUUUGAUAGUAAUAGAAAAGAAGGAAGAGAAAGAGAAUAUGCAUGUUUACAAAA